rnacentral:rRNA from 1 species
AGUUGGUGGAGUGAUUUGUCUGGUUAAUUCCGUUAACGAACGAGACCUCAGCCUGCUAAAUAGUCCGACUAUGGUUUUCCAUGGCUGCUGACUUCUUAGAGGGACUAUUGGCGUUUAGCCAAUGGAAGUUUGAGGCAAUAACAGGU